AGUGAACGCUGGCGGUAGGCCUAACACAUGCAAGUCGAACGGCAGCACAGUAAGAGCUUGCUCUUACGGGUGGCGAGUGGCGGACGGGUGAGGAAUACAUCGGAAUCUACUUUUUCGUGGGGGAUAACGUAGGGAAACUUACGCUAAUACCGCAUACGACCUACGGGUGAAAGCAGGGGAUGUUCGGACUUUGAGCGAUUGAAGGAGGCGAUGUCAGAUUAGCUAGUUGGCGGGGUAAAGGCCCACCAAGACGUCAAUCCGUAGAUUGCCGCAGAGGAAGACCGACGCCCCUGGCACUUAAUCACGUUCCACACUCCUACAGCGGGCACCAGUGGGGAAUAUUCGGCAAGAGUGGCAAGCCUAAUCCAACAAUACCGAGUGAGUGAAGAAAGCCUUCGGGCUGUAAAGCCCUUUUGUUGGUAAAGAACAGCAGCCGGCUUACCACACGCUGUUCUGACGGUACCCAAACAAUAAGCACCGGCUAACUUCGUG
rnacentral:rRNA from 1 species